rnacentral:tRNA from 2 species
GCGCCUGUAGCUCAGCGGAUAGAGCGGCAGACUUCGAAUCUGAUGGUCGGGGGUUCGAAUCCCUCCAGGCGCG